CGGGAAUUGAAUUUUCCAUAAGGCAUGAGCUCAAGUCAAUGUGAAAAUUCUGUUAGCUUCUGUUAGCAUCAUGUUCAACAACUGUCAGUCCUUUGGUAAGUUGCUCGUGGAAUGUCAAAACCAGACAGAGGAAAUCCUACAAAUGAACAAUGAAAUGAGCUAAGGACUACAACUGUAAGGACAAAAACAAACAAACAAGCAAAACAAAACAAAACAAAAAACAACUUGAGAAGUAUACCUUGGACUCAAGCUAAAUGACCUAAUAUAAAUUAACUCAGCCUUUUAUUCUGGGGCUUAUUGGGAAUGCAACUUGAUGAAUUCAUACAGUGCAAUUAUUUAAAACAUUGUUUUUCCACAUUACAAAGGAAAAUGUAGGUCUCUGUUCCUAUUAAAGAAAAAUGAAUGUAUACAUUAUGAUAUCAUAUGUCAAGAGAGGCAUGGAAAUAAUAUGGGAUUAUCUUUUCCAAUUAUGUGGCAGUACUUAGGUGGAUAUAAAAAGUGUCUCUUCUGGGGACAUCUGAAUGUUUUGUGGAAGGAAAAUAAAAAUCUUGGGACCCCGAACUCACUAUGUCAAAGGGAAAAGUCAAGUAUGGGAACUGAGUAGAGCAAACCUGCCUCCCAUUUUGUUCCUAAAUAGAUGACUACAGAGAUAAAAGACAACAUACCUCCCUCACAAUUAACUCACAGGGAAAUCCCUUGUGGGCUCCAUGAUCUUUACUCAAAAACAGUUCUGUUGAAUUUCACCCUUACAAUGUAAAUUAACAGCUUAUCUUCACAGGUAUAGGACAAAAGACAGAACUGGUAAUGAUUCCUUUCCACACCUAAGACAAAUGCAUAUCUGACUGCUUCUUCUACUCUAUGUUUAUCUUAUGUGAAAAACAUAUUUGCUGAGUGCGAGACAAAUCCAUAAUGAGUAUUCUACCCUGCCUUUGACAUGUAAAAUUUAUAUUCAGUGAGUGCUGAUCAAAGAUUCAAAUGAAUGCAACUCUUGCCCAUUUUAUAUACCUUCCUAUCUCUCUUUUUUUUUUUUCCUUCCUUUCUCCCCUGCUGCCUUCUCAUUCCCAUUUAAAUAUCGACAUCCCAAAACCCUCUUUGGAAAAAGUAGGGUCACAGAUGUUCCUGUGGUUUUGUGUUCCUUUUUCC
rnacentral:lncRNA from 1 species